UCAAACUCAGAAAGAUUUUACAACUUUUUUCUAAAUGUGGCUCUUCUAGAGUGUGUUCCAUUCCUUCUUUUCUUAGGGUUACUGCAUCAUCAUUUUCCUACUUCUGUCAUAAGGAUUCGAAGUGAUCUUCACAUAGCACCACCUCAUAAACCCAAACACUACGAAAUUCCAGUAUAAAAAUACAAAUGAGUAAAAGUGAUGCUCAUUCUCCUCCCACUGUACCCCCAACUCAAACGGAAGACAUUUCUAAGAAGAAAAAUGAUGAUAGUUCAACCUCACCAUCAAUACAAGCAAAUAAGAGUCCAUCAACUUCAAAAGUGGCAAAAGACUCGAAGCCACUCGAUUCUUUAUCAUCAACUCAAGAAGAUCCAAGCACUUCCAAUCCCAAAGUUGAUAAGAAAAAAAAUGAUAAUACUUCAACAUCGUCGUCAACACAAGAAGAUAAAAAUUUAUCAAGCUUAGAAGAGAAAAAUGAGUCGAAGCCAACCACUUCUCCACCACGUGCUUAAAUUUCGAGGACUCAGAAUCUUCUUCAAAUCACUUAAAGAUGGGGUUAUAUGCUUUACGAUGAACUUUAAGAGAAAUAUUAGCUCAUGUUACAAUUGCACCACAACAGUGUUGCUUAUGAUUAAAAGAAAUAAAAAGGUGUUUUAACACCAUUAUGUGUAUUUUUUUAUCUUUUUGUUUCAAGUUUACAGAGUAAGAGUAGAGUGUGACAUGUUGAUAUUUGAAUUUCUUUCAAUAAAAAGUUAUGGUAGAAAUUGGCAUGGAACUUAUUGGAUUGUACAAUCUUAUAUAGGCUUAAAUGGUUACUUCGUCCCCAUGUUAAGGGAUGAAUUUCUGUUUAGUACCCGGUUUUAAAAAUGCUUCUAUUUUAUCUCAAAGUAGUAUAAAUUGCAUCAAUUAGAUCCCUUCUGU